UGCGCAGGCGGACAUGAAAGUGUCUUGUGAAAUACCACGGCUCAACCGUGGAAUUGCUGGGCAAACUACAUGUCUUGAGCCUCACAGGGGCCGUCGGAACGGUAGGUGGAGCGGUGAAAUGCGUAGAUAUCUACCGGAACGCCAAAGGUGAAAACAGACGGCUGGGUGAGCGCUGACGCUCAGGCACGAAAGCGUGGGAGCAACG
rnacentral:rRNA from 1 species